rnacentral:tRNA from 1 species
UUAGUUAAAACCAAAUAAGAGGUAUUUCACUGUUAAUGAAAUUAAUGAACAUAAGUUCUAACUAAGGA